UACGGGGGGAGCAAGCGUUGUUCGGAUUUACUGGGCGUAAAGGGCGCGUAGGCGGUCGUGACAAGUCACUUGUGAAAUCUCCGGGCUUAACUCGGAACGGUCAAGUGAUACUGUCGGACUAGAGUACAGAAGGGGCAACUGGAAUUCUCGGUGUAGCGGUGAAAUGCGUAGAUAUCGAGGGGAACACCUGCGGCGAAGGCGGGUUGCUGGGCUGAUACUGACGCUGAGGCGCGAAAGCCAGGGGAGCGAACGGG
rnacentral:rRNA from 1 species